GAAAGGAUCUGACCAGACUCUGGCUUUGGAGUCCUCACCAGACCCGCCACUGAACAGAAAAAUCCAGGGGGAAACCCCUGCCGGGGAUUAGCCCGAACUUUGUGUUUCCUUUCCGGAGCUGGAAAUAUUUGAGUUUGGAAAGUCCCCCAGCAGAACCGUAUUUGCAACACUACAGUCCGGCCUCAGGUAUGACUUUAAACCGGGAGACGGGGCAGCAGCAGCCCCGUGGCAGUGAUGACAGGGAGAAAGGGCAGACGGACGAGGGUGCAGACUGGUCCAGGCCCUCCGAAGCCCGCUAGCGAGGGCCACCUCCAGCACACACAUGAGCAUCUACACACGCCCAAACCACCACGUCGCAGGCCCACGGCAGAGCUUCGCGCUCACCCUUGAAGGUGGCACUACAGAGCCACCUGGAAGACACGGGCAUUUCAUUGAAGACUAAACGAGAGUGAAUCCAGGAGCCUGCGUUACGGCAGCUGCCAAAGCCUCCAGUGUGCAAGGGGCGGAGGUGAAAACCUAAAGCCCAAAGGAAUGAAAAGAAUUGACAGAUAAGGCUCUAAGGAACAGAGGAAUUACCUGAUUCAUCCAGGUUUCAACUAUUUAGAGAAAGAGCCAAGACUGGAACCCAGAGCUGGUGACUCCAAGUGCAAUUAUUUUCCCCACUAUGUCUAAAGUAUCACCUGCUAUUAUCGUUAAACACGGCCACUCCGUGCGUCAGGAAAACAGACAGCAGGAAUGUGAUGACGCCCAGGCAAAGAGCCUAUGCUGAUGGCCAUCAUCAAUGACAACUGAAAGAUCAGGGGAGAGGGCCACUGCUCCAUUCUCUGAUGCAUAUCCAGUAA